rfam:Heterorhabditis bacteriophora unplaced genomic scaffold Scaffold761, whole genome shotgun sequence.
UCAACGGCCCUCUUUAGGGCCACCUACAUGUAUGAAUACGUACUGU